CACAUCUUUGAUGUGACCUACAAUAUUAUGUCUGGACCAUCUGCCUGAAUAAUUUUGGGGGUGAAACUUGGAAGACUGUAUUAUGAACACUGAGAUUAUUACUCAUCCAUGGACCAGCAUGGAUACUGGAUCUUAGUUGGAAACAUAACCCAAAGAGGCCUCGAGUGCAGUUUCUUCUUCUUUCCAGAUUGGGACAAAAAAUGGAUAGGGGAAUUCCUUCUCCUCCCAGCUCAUCUUGGAUGAACAGCACCAUCCUUUUAGAUCUUUAAUCUACUAUGUUCUCAUCAAAAGGCUUGGCUCUUCUACAACUUCUUUCUGGCUCAUUAGAAUGCAGUAUUCCAUCAGUCACUGUGAACAAUGACAUCCUUCAAAGAGCUUCUAGAAGGAGUCUUACAGGGACGUCGUUAUGUACGCUUCAGAUAUUUACUCCUGUGGCAGAUCCCUACUGUUACUGGAAAUAUAGAUUUCCAACAACUAUGACUUUGAAUUUGGAUAGAUCAACCUUUGGAUAAUAUUUUGCUUCUCAUGACUAUGGAAGCAUUUCCUUCAAGCAUUAAAAUUAGAAGACGAUAACACGGAGCACACCUUACUCAGUAAAAAGAUGUGGGAUACAAGGUCAUAUGCCAUUCCUCAGAGACAGAUGUAAAUUAUGUGUGAUGCUUUGUAAGAAGUUAAGCCAAGGUUUAGCAUUAAUUGACCUUAAAUUUUCUACAUUAGAAAAAUUAUCUUAAUUAUGAUAUUCAUUUCCUUCUCCUGUAGAGAAAUGCACAUCAAUUGCUGGCUUCUCACUCUCUGCUACUGAGACUCUGAAAAAUAAAUAAUAAUCACUGUACUUCUUACUCCAUUCCUCAGCUGUCUUUCUGAUUUUAUUGUGUGUAGUAAAACUUUAAUUUUGGUCAAGAGUAAACAAACAGGUACUAGAGAAGAAAUACUGUGGUUUGUUUUAGCCAUAAUUUGUAAACAAAGCAUUUAUAGUCUCUUCCAUAUAUAAUAAUAGGCCAGAAACUCUGGUUCAUAAAUUAAAGUGGCUGGUUCAUGUAUCACACUAAAGUAAAACCAUAUAAAUCAUAUUAUAGUUUAACGUGAUAUCUGAACUCAAUCCAAGGCUACAAUAUCUGGACUAUGGAAGUUGGAUGACCUGUAGGUGACAGCAAAGAGAUACAGGAAAUUAAUAGCUGCUUUUAGUGGCUAUUCUGACAUUUGCAGACCCGAUAUGGAAGCCCUAAACCCAUCCAAUGGUUGCACUAGGUUUUCCCAACCAGAUGUUCUCCAGAUAGGCACUCUUCCUUCCUUUGGCUAUGCUGGCUGGGUGGUACCAGGCUGAAGAUGUCUUGUCUGUUCUGCUUGUGGUACCUUGGAGUACUUAAAGAUAUUGGAUACCAUUUCCAUCUUGUAACCCUAACCUAA